rnacentral:rRNA from 1 species
CCUACGGGAGGCAGCAGUGGGGAAUAUUGGGCAAUGGGCGCAAGCCUGACCCAGCAACGCCGCGUGAAGGAAGAAGGCUUUCGGGUUGUAAACUUCUUUUCUCAGGGACGAAGCAAGUGACGGUACCUGAGGAAUAAGCCACGGCUACUACGUGCCAGCAGCCGCGGUAAUACGUAGGUGGCAAGCGUUAUCCUGAUUUACUGGGUGUAAAGGGCGUGCAGGCGGGACUGCAAGUCAGAUGUGAAAACCACGGGCUCAACCUGUGGCCUGCAUUUGAAACCGUAGUUCUUGAGUACUGGAGAGGCAGACAGAAUUCCUAGUGUAGCGGUGAAAUGCGUAGAUAUUAGGAGGAACACCAGUGGCGAAGGCGGUCUGCUGGACAGCAACUGACGCUGAGGCGCGAAAGCGUGGGGAGCAAACAGGAUUAGAUACCCUUGUAGUC